rnacentral:rRNA from 1 species
CGAACUCUGGUAUUGAUUGGUGCUUGCAUCAUGAUUUACAUUUGAGUGAGUGGCGAACUGGUGAGUAACACGUGGGAAACCUGCCCAGAAGCGGGGGAUAACACCUGGAAACAGAUGCUAAUACCGCAUAACAACUUGGACCGCAUGGUCCGAGCUUGAAAGAUGGCUUCGGCUAUCACUUUUGGAUGGUCCCGCGGCGUAUUAGCUAGAUGGUGGGGUAACGGCUCACCAUGGCAAUGAUACGUAGCCGACCUGAGAGGGUAAUCGGCCACAUUGGGACUGAGACACGGCCCAAACUCCUACGGGAGGCAGCAGUAGGGAAUCUUCCACAAUGGACGAAAGUCUGAUGGAGCAACGCCGCGUGAGUGAAGAAGGGUUUCGGCUCGUAAAACUCUGUUGUUAAAGAAGAACAUAUCUGAGAGUAACUGUUCAGGUAUUGACGGUAUUUAACCAGAAAGCCACGGCUAACUACGUGCCAGCAGCCGCGGUAAUACGUAGGUGGCAAGCGUUGUCCGGAUUUAUUGGGCGUAAAGCGAGCGCAGGCGGUUUUUUAAGUCUGAUGUGAAAGCCUUCGGCUCAACCGAAGAAGUGCAUCGGAAACUGGGAAACUUGAGUGCAGAAGAGGACAGUGGAACUCCAUGUGUAGCGGUGAAAUGCGUAGAUAUAUGGAAGAACACCAGUGGCGAAGGCGGCUGUCUGGUCUGUAACUGACGCUGAGGCUCGAAAGUAUGGGUAGCAAACAGGAUUAGAUACCCUGGUAGUCCAUACCGUAAACGAUGAAUGCUAAGUGUUGGAGGGUUUCCGCCCUUCAGUGCUGCAGCUAACGCAUUAAGCAUUCCGCCUGGGGAGUACGGCCGCAAGGCUGAAACUCAAAGGAAUUGACGGGGGCCCGCACAAGCGGUGGAGCAUGUGGUUUAAUUCGAAGCUACGCGAAGAACCUUACCAGGUCUUGACAUACUAUGCAAAUCUAAGAGAUUAGACGUUCCCUUCGGGGACAUGGAUACAGGUGGUGCAUGGUUGUCGUCAGCUCGUGUCGUGAGAUGUUGGGUUAAGUCCCGCAACGAGCGCAACCCUUAUUAUCAGUUGCCAGCAUUAAGUUGGGCACUCUGGUGAGACUGCCGGUGACAAACCGGAGGAAGGUGGGGAUGACGUCAAAUCAUCAUGCCCCUUAUGACCUGGGCUACACACGUGCUACAAUGGAUGGUACAACGAGUUGCGAACUCGCGAGAGUAAGCUAAUCUCUUAAAGCCAUUCUCAGUUCGGAUUGUAGGCUGCAACUCGCCUACAUGAAGUCGGAAUCGCUAGUAAUCGCGGAUCAGCAUGCCGCGGUGAAUACGUUCCCGGGCCUUGUACACACCGCCCGUCACACCAUGAGAGUUUGUAACACCCAAAGUCGGUGGGGUAACCUUUUA